AGUGAACGCUGGCGGUAGGCCUAACACAUGCAAGUCGAACGGCAGCACAGGAGAGCUUGCUCUCUGGGUGGCGAGUGGCGGACGGGUGAGGAAUACAUCGGAAUCUACUUUUUCGUGGGGGAUAACGUAGGGAAACUUACGCUAAUACCGCAUACGACCUACGGGUGAAAGCAGGGGACCUUCGGGCCUUGCGCGAUUGAAUGAGCCGAUGUCGGAGUAGCUAGUUGGCGGGGUAAAGGCUCACCAAGGCGACGAUCCGUAGCUGGUCUGAGAGGAUGAUCAGCCACACUGGAACUGAGACACGGUCCAGACUCCUACGGGAGGCAGCAGUGGGGAAUAUUGGACAAUGGGCGCAAGCCUGAUCCAGCCAUACCGCGUGGGUGAAGAAGGCCUUCGGGUUGUAAAGCCCUUUUGUUGGGAAAGAAAUCCAGCUGGCUAAUACCCGGUUGGGAUGACGGUACCCAAAGAAUAAGCACCGGCUAACUUCGUGCCAGCCGCCGCAGUAA
rnacentral:rRNA from 1 species